rnacentral:snRNA from 1 species
GGAUGUGAAAGUGAUCUAGCUGCGACAUCUGUCACCCCAUUGAUUGCCAGGAUUCAUUCAUUUGAUCUGGUUGGCUAGAUGGAUGUCCCCUUCCUCCCUCAUGCUCCCAUUGCAUCUUUCCCGAAGCUGUGCGCUCAGAUCGAAGAGGACAGCCUUUCUUGAACAGAGAUGGACCUGGUCUUUGGUCCAAGACAUACGAGUAGCUGCACUUGUUUGCUAGAACCUCUAAACAAGCUCUUGAGAACUGACUGUCAUACCUCUGAGAGGUAUAGUGUUGGGAUGAUUUGUGGUUCUAGGAGAUUAUAGGGAGGAAGAAAAUAAAGAUAAUUUGAAAUUCCUUAACUUCAUUUCAGUGGAAAGAUUCUGUGAGU